rnacentral:lncRNA from 1 species
CAAUAAUAGUGUUCUACCUAUCGUGAAUUUUUCAACACUACGAAUAAUCAACUUAUUGUCCUAAUGGUACGCAGACAUUAAAACAAUGUAAAUAGGCAUAUUAAUGGAAUCACAACACAAGAAUUAAGAUAAAAACAUAGGUCUCGAAUCAAAACUAAAAAUUAAACAAUUUUGUAAUCCAUCCAAUACAUGAAAAUAUUUAGCCUAGCAUAAGAUUGGAAUUAAACAAAGAAAAGUGGGAGGACAUCACCAAGAAAUUGAUGAAACGUGAUUAAUUUCCAAAUUAUUUGCACAAUUGUUGAAGAAUAAUUGCACAAAAAUUCAGCCAGCUUUUCUACGUUUUUUGCUUCAAUUCCAGCGUGUGUUUGCUCUGUAUAUAUAUAAAAAAUCAGCCGCCUUAUGUAAUGUAUGGUCAAUCCCCAUGGCAGCCAUUUUGACUCCAAAUACAGCCAUUUUCUGUGAAUUUUCCCCCUUUUUAUUCUUCAAAACUAGUCUCUUUUUCCUUGCCUUCUUUCCCAGCAGCUUAGCCCUUUUUUUAAUCUAUUUAAAACCAAUUCCCAAAGUAGGCUUCCACUUUCUGUGCGUAAAACAUAUAUAACAGCCAGCUACCUUGUUUUACUCCAAAAAGAAUUCAAUUGCUCAUGAAAUUGGCUUCCUGUGUAUAUAUAUAAUUCUCCACCCAGCUACUAUGUUUGAUUCCACAAAGAACUCUAUCUUUUGCCUCCUUUUCUUUGACCUUGUAGCUAUCAUUUUCUAUCUCUGUAUAUAUAUAUAUAUAUAUAUAUAUAUAUCAGCCCACUUCUCUGACAUAUUUCUGCUGGCCACCGUUUGUAUGUGUGUCUCCCUAUAAAUUUCAAGUUCUUGCCUUUUAAUUUCCCUACAGUUGCACUCCAAAAUUUUUUUUCUCCUCUAGCAGCCCCUAUUAUGUCUCUCCUCCCGCAACUCCAUGUGCAUGAAUAUAUC